ACGCAUAUGAGUUGUGUACAAUAUCAUAAACAAGGUUAUUUGCGUCGCUUUUUUAUAAUAAAGUGACGCAAAUAACUCUUUUGGCUUUAGGUUUUCUGCGUUUUUUUACCUUAGUUUUUCAUCACAUACGCCUACAUUCACCAACAAAAAGAAAAAAACAAGAGUUCUUCAAUUCCAGUGAAUUGCUACAGCAAAACACCCACAAAUUUGUCUCUGAAAUCCAACAAAUUAGGCCAAAAAACUGCGAUUCCCCAGCAAAUUUAACAUUUAAAUUAAAAUUGCAGUCAAGUUGAAGCAAAUCCGAGCAAUUUCGAGCAAAAAUUUAGACCAAAAACCCUAAGAAAUUCGAACCCUUAAACCCAGAAAAAUUGAUUGUUUCCGACCAAAAAUCCCCCAUUUCGAGCAAAAAAUCAACUCAAAAGCAUACGAAUUCGAACCCUAGAAACCCCAAAAAAUUCAAUUUCGGUCUUCAAGUUCGAUUGGGGGAUUUCGAGGGGGGAUUUCUUGGGUUUUUGGCAGCGACACAAUAUACCCUAAGAAAUUCGUCCCAUUUCAAUCAUAAAUAAUUUUUGUUCGGAUUUUAGUAAAGAAAUUACAGCAACAAUAGUUUCAGUCAAGAAAUUACAGCAAAAAUAAUUGUUCGAAUUACGUCUUUUUUUGGGUUUAAGGGUUCGAAAUCCCCCAUUUCAGUCAUAAAUAGAAAUUGUUCGAAUUUCAGUCAAGAAAUUACAGCAACAAUAAUUCGAGGGGGGAUUUCGGCUUGACAUUGUUGAAUUUGUGAAGUCAAUUUCACCUAAGAUAAGAUUUCUUCUAUUUAUGUUCAUUCUUUUCAUGGUAGAUAGAAUGUAGCAUUUAACUUGAACAAUGACUUAGUUUAAUUUCAGGUUUAGUGUUAGUUCAUUAAUUAGAAAAUAUAUAUGGCAGAUUUUAGUUGAAUAUAUAACUGGUUGCAUCUUUGAGCUGCUGAUUUUUGUGCUGCUGGUUUGCAAUAUAUUACUAAUUUCAAAUAUAUAACUGAAAUCGAGUGCACAGUAUGACUAUAUGAGCGGUUUUGCAAAAAUAGAUAAGACACGUGUUGUCGAUCUUCAUCCUGGCCAUUAAAUUCAGUAACAUUGACCCUUGUUUUUCAACUGUCUUAUCUUUAAUUUGCCGUAAAAAUGCUGCUAAAUAAAUUACAAAAUACAUGUAAGACUUGCACUCGUUUAGUUGGAAGUCAGUGUUUACAUAUAUGUUAUUUAGUUGGAAGUCAGUGUUUACAUAUAUGUUAUUUAGUUGGAAGUCAGUGUUUACAUAUAUGUUAUUGGGUCUCUUAUUUAGUUGGAAGUCAGUGUUUACAUAUAUGUUAGAAGAGUGUUUUUUGAGGUUUUCUGUGGACUGAUACUAUGAAAUCUUGUUGCCUGACCAUUGUAAUUGUAUUAGCUUUGUUGUGAUGUUGAUUAAUAAGAGAGAUGAAGAAGGGCAAUUACAAGUACUAUCAGCUCACUUGAGAUUGCUGAAGCAGAGAGUAUUGAUCUAGAUUCAAAAUUUCGUGCCCUGGUUGCUAUUGGAUCAUUGAUUCUUAAUUAUGCGGAAGUGAAUUCCACAAGUUGCUCGAGGUUCUGGUUGUGGACAAACGAUUAAGGCGGUAUGCUUUUCGAAGUUUUAAAGCAUUAAGUGGACAAUCUAGGAGAAGUAAAUUGACAUGGCAUUUGGGACAGUGUCCUCAACAAUUGGGUGGACGUGAGUGUGGCUACUUCGUCCUGCGUCAUAUGUACGAAAUACUUGAACAUCACCAUAGCAAUGAGGAUCUUAUUCAGUUGUGUUGAUAGGAUUUUUCAAGAACUACACCGUACACCGAGGAGGAGAUAAAUGAGAAUCGAGAUAUUUGGGCAGAGUACUUAUGUAAUGUUCAACUUUAGAUUUACACUUAGCGCAUGUUGGACUCUUGUUUUGGAUUAUAGGCUUGAAAUGAAUGAAUUUGGUUAAUUAGUGUUGGGAUGAUGAGUAUAAUGUCUAUGAUAUUGAGAUGUAAUUUAUUGGACAGGUUGUUAAUAUAAUGCCGUCAUUCCCAAUUUUAUGGGUAGGCCAAAUUACAAAGGAGACUCUGCCGAAAUUUACAUUUGCAUUAUUCAAUAAUAUUGCAUUUUAAUUUCAA